UGAAAAACUUCUGGGGACAAAAAUUAUAUUUUUCCAAAGUUCAGGGGUCAAAAUUAAAUGAAAGAUAAAAUUUAAGGACCUAAGUGAAAUUAAUUUAAGGACCUAAGUGAAAGGAAUUUAAAAUGUUCUGGGCCACAAUAAAACUACUCCAAAGAUCAGGGGGCUAAAGUGCAAAUUUGCUAGCAGGUCUUCUUAAGAAAACAGGCCACUGGGCCAUUCUCUAUUUUUUCGGGCCAAAGGCCAUCCGGCCCAAACGAAAGUUCAAGCCAAAAUACACAGGCCAGCCCGUCAUCUAUCACUCAGAUCCAACCAAAAUAAAGGCAUGGGCUCUGACCUUCUAGCCCAACCUAAACCCAAAAGAAAUAAAUCAAAACCCAACCAAAACCCAAUCAAAACUAACUCUUGGCCCAACCGAAGAUAAAACAUUAGCCCAAACCACUUUUUUUCUUUUCUUUCCUUCUUUUCUUUCUUUUCUUUUCUUUUCUUUCUUCUUCCUCACCGUUUCUUUAUCUCCUUUCUUCGGCCAGCUGAAGCUCCUCGCCACCGCCAACCAUAGCUGAUAUGGUGGCUGCCCGCGCCGCCACCACUGGUCGCCGGCGAAUUUUUGCCGAUCACAAAAAAUUAUCAAAAUACACACCCCAACUCGAUUUUUCGCGUAGAAUCCAAUUCCGGAGUUAGUUUUUACAAAAAAAUGAGCCGAAAGUGGUCAAAAUGCCAAGAAAUCAGUUCAGUUUUUAUUUUUUAAAAACCCUCAAAUCUUCACCAAAAAUCAUAAAAAUUAUGCCAAAACCCUCCUUGCAACUUCUAAAUUACAACUAUGAUUUUAAUUUGACAAGAAAACAACAUAAAAAGGCUAGAAUAAAGCAAAACAGACCCCUAAAAUUCUUUUUUUUUUCAUUUUGGCAUUUUCACAAGCACUUGACAUGCAUUCAUGGGCCCGUUUCUUUUCCUUAAUUCUGUGCAUGACUUGUCCCAAAAACUCAGCAACCCAACAACCAAGGAAACCAGCAAAAGCAAAAGAAAAUUAAACAAUGAAGCAUGGAUUUAAUGUGCUAAACAAAACUAAAAAAAUUACCUCAAUGUAGGUGGCAAUCCCUUGGUUGAAGUUUUGAUGAAAUUUCCAAGCCUUGACCGAUAGCUGCCUUUUCCCUUUUUUGUGUUUGGAUUUUGUGGAAGAAAAUGUGUAGAUGGAGCCCUUUUUUUCUUUUGUUCCUCUUGUCUUCUUUCUUCUGCCCAAGUCCGAGAGAGGGAUAGAGUGAGGUGAGGAGCUUUUCUCUUUUUUUUUUUUUCUUUUUUCUUUUUUUCGGUUGAGACCAAAGAAAGAGCCAAGAGCCUUCCUUUUUUUUUUGUGUGUUUUUCCCCUCCUGUUUCAAGAGAGAGCCGAGAGAGUCAGGAGUGCCCUUUUUUUUUUGUUCCUCUUGUCUGAUGAGGGAGAGAGCCGAGAGAUGAAAUUGAGCCAAAAAGGUGGAGUGUCUUUUUUCU
rnacentral:lncRNA from 1 species